rnacentral:rRNA from 1 species
GGUUCGUUACGUCGGAUGUGAAAAUCUGGGGCUCAACCCCAGACCUGCAUCCGAUACGGUCGAGCUAGAGUUUGGUAGGGGAGACUGGAAUUCCUGGUGUAGCGGUGGAAUGCGCAGAUAUCAGGAGGAACACCAAUGGCGAAGGCAGGUCUCUGGGCCAAUACUGACACUGAGGAGCGAAAGCGUGGGGAGCGAACAGGAUUAGAUACCCUGGUAGUCCACGCCGUAAACGGUGGGCGCUAGUUGUGGGAACCUUCCACGGUUUCUGCGACGCAGCUAACGCAUUAAGCGCCCCGCCUGGGGAGUACGAUCGCAAGAUUAAAACUCAAAGGAAUUGACGGGGGCCCCCGCACAAGCAGCGGAGCAUGCGGCUUAAUUCGACGCAACGCGAAGAACCUUACCAAGGCUUGACAUAUACAGGAAUAUGGCAGAGAUGUCAUAGCGGUAAAACGUCUGUAUACAGGUGGUGCAUGGUUGUCGUCAGCUCGUGUCGUGAGAUGUUGGGUUAAGUCCCGCAACGAGCGCAACCCUCGUUCUGUGUUGCCAGCAUUUAGUUGGGGACUCACAGGAGACUGCCGGGGUUAACUCGGAGGAAGGUGGGGAUGACGUCAAAUCAUCAUGCCCCUUAUGUCUUGGGCUGCACGCAUGCUACAAUGGCUGGUACAAAGGGCUGCAAUACUGCAAAGUGGAGCGAAUCCCAAAAAGCCAGUCUCAGUUCGGAUUGGGGUCUGCAACUCGACCCCAUGAAGUCGGAGUUGCUAGUAAUCGUA